AUCGAACUUCCAGCGAUUACCGCCACGAAGAAGCAACCAGUCAACCAGUUUGGUUUUCCGGGAAUCCCGUGCCCGGAACCAUCGUAGAUGACGUGAUCACAUUUCUUGAACGCAACGAAUUCCACCUGAUUUCCAAGAACGUCCGCAAGGGAACCGUCUCGCCCACCUCAUACAACUAGACGCGGACAAGCUGCAGCAGUACUCGUUGCCCGUGUUGUCGGAAUGGAGCAGGAAUCGGACACUGAAGGGGGGCAGGCCGGCAAGAAAAUCAAUUAAGAAAAAGCCACGGCUGGGGAGUUCAAUUCCGUCCCGCGGGAAGCGGGUUACGCCGGUGAAGAAGACGUCGCUGACGUUUGCCAUUUUCGGCACCAGUAUGAACCGGAUUGGGAUGCAGAAGAUAUGGGGGAGGACCGGAGAAGCAGCAGCUGAGGCGAUGCAAAACGUCAACCGCAACCCGCUGUCACCCAUUUACCGAC